rnacentral:rRNA from 1 species
CUCUUUAUGGGGGGUGACUGCGUACCUUUUGUAUAAUGGGUCAGCGACUUAUAUUCUGUAGCAAGGUUAACCGCAUAGGGGAGCCGAAGGGAAACCGAGUCUUAAUUGGGCGUUAAGUUGCAGGGUAUAGACCCGAAACCCGGUGAUCUAGCCAUGGGCAGGUUGAAGGUUGGGUAACACUAACUGGAGGACCGAACCGACUAAUGUUGAAAAAUUAGCGGAUGACCUGUGGCUGGGGGUGAAAGGCCAAUCAAACCGGGAGAUAGCUGGUUCUCCCCGAAAGCUAUUUAGGUAGCGCCUCGUGAACUCAUCUCCGGGGGUAGAGCACUGUUUCGGCUAGGGGGCCAUCCCGGCUUACCAACCCGAUGCAAACUGCGAAUACCGGAGAAUGUUAUCACGGGAGACACACGGCGGGUGCUAACGUCCGUCGUGAAGAGGGAAACAACCCAGACCGCCAGCUAAGGUCCCAAAGUCAUGGUUAAGUGGGAAACGAUGUGGGAAGGCCCAGACAGCCAGGAUGUUGGCUUAGAAGCAGCCAUCAUUUAAAGAAAGCGUAAUAGCUCACUGGUCGAGUCGGCCUGCGCGGAAGAUGUAACGGGGCUAAACCAU